rnacentral:rRNA from 1 species
GAUGAACGCUGGCGGCGUGCCUAAUACAUGCAAGUCGAGCGAACAGAUGAGUAUCUUGCUCCUCUGACGUUAGCGGCGGACGGGUGAGUAACACGUGGAUAACCUACCUAUAAGACUUGGAUAACUUCGGGAAACCGGAGCUAAUACCGGAUAAUAUAUUUAACCGCAUGGUUCAGUAGUGAAUGACGGUUUUGCUGUCACUUAUAGAUGGAUCCGCUCCGCAUUAGCUAGUUGGUAAGGUAACGGCUUACCAAGGCAACGAUGCGUAGCCGACCCCAGAGGGUGAUGGGCCCCACUGGAACUGAGACACGGUACUGACUCCUACGGGAGGCCGCAGUAGGGAAUCUUGGGCGAUGGGCGAAAGCCUGAAGGAGCAACGCCGCGUGAGUGAUGAAGGUCUGCGGAUCGUAAAACUCUGUUAUUAGGGAAGAACAAAUGUGUAAGUAACUAUGCACGGUUUGACGGUAGUUAAUCAGAAAGCCACGGCUAACUACGUG